GGAAGCGCGUGAGUUUAGAAGCCACGCGGGGUUGUGGGGUGUCCCGGGAGCUCAAGGCGUGCGCUUUCUCUUUGGCCGUUCGCCGCUGAACGUCUUGUGUCCUUUCCGCCCUUUCGGGGUGGGGGAAAGCAGAGCUUCUCCACGAGCUGGGGCCCGUGAAGGAGAAGGGAGCCAGCGGGGGACUCUGGAGUGCCUGAGGGCAGGGCUGCGGCCCGGAGGAGGCGAGGAGAAGAGAGGGUUCCCGUAGGCAGGGUCCGCACGCGCUGGGAUCAGGGCUGGUCCCGAGAAGGGCCUGGGGCGGCCGCGCUAUGUUCGGGGCCCGGUGCCUGCUCCGAGCCCUGCGCUCCUGUUCCUCGGCUCCCUGCCCAAGGCACAAACCUUCAGCCAAACUGAGCGUGCGGGACGCUCUCGGGGCCCAGAACGCAAGUGGGGAGCGCGUUAAGGUCCAGGGAUGGAUUCGUUCAGUCCGAUCCCAGAAGGAAGUCUUGUUCCUGCAUGUAAAUGAUGGGUCAUCUUUGGAAAGCCUUCAGGUUGUAGCAGAUUCAAGCUUUGACAGUAGAGAACUGGCCUUUGGGAGUUCCGUGGAAGUUCAAGGGCAGCUGGUAAAAAGUUUGUCCAAAAGGCAAAAUGUGGAACUGAAGGCAGAAAAAAUUGAAGUUGUUGGAAAUUGUGAUGCCAAGGCUUUCCCUUUUAAAUAUAAAGAGAGGCAUCCUCUGGAGUAUCUGAGACAAUACCCUCACCUUAGGUGUAGGACUAAUGUUCUGGGUUCUGUACUGAGGGUUCGCAGUGAAGCCACAGCUGCUAUCCAUUCUUUCUUUAAGGACAGUGGCUUUGUGCAUAUUCAUACUCCAGUAAUCACAUCCAAUGACUGUGAGGGGGCUGGAGAACUUUUUCAAGUUACGCCUUCAAGCAAAAUAAAGGUACCUGAGGAGAAUUUCUUCAAUGUUCCUGUUUUCUUAACUGUCUCAGGACAACUUCAUCUAGAAGUGAUGUCAGGAGCUUUUACUCAAGUGUUUACCUUUGGUCCAACAUUCCGAGCAGAGAAUUCUCAGAGCCGGAGACACCUGGCAGAGUUUUAUAUGGUAGAAGCAGAGAUUUCUUUUCUUGAGAGCCUUCAAGAUCUCAUGCAGGUUAUGGAGGGCCUCUUCAAGACUACAACAAUGACAGUUCUCUCAAAUUGUCCUGAAGAUGUUGAACUCUGUCAUAAAUUCAUAGCUCCUGGCCAAAAGGACAGAUUAGAACAUAUGCUAAAAAACAACUUUCUAAUCAUUUCUUAUACUGAGGCAGUGGAGAUCUUAAAGCAGGCAUCCCAGAACUUCACCUUCACUCCAGAGUGGGGUGCUGAUCUACACACUGAACAUGAAAAGUACCUGGUGAAGCACUGUGGCGACAUACCAGUCUUUGUCAUUAAUUAUCCAUUAGCACUCAAGCCCUUCUACAUGAGGGAUAAUGAAGACAGCCCUCAGCACACAGUUGCUGCUGUUGAUCUUCUGGUUCCUGGAGUUGGAGAACUCUUUGGGGGAAGCCUCAGAGAAGAACGGUACCAUUUCUUAGAGCAGCGAUUGGCCAGGUCAGGACUGACAGAAGCCUACCAAUGGUAUCUGGACCUCCGUCAAUUUGGAUCUGUGCCACAUGGAGGUUUUGGGAUGGGAUUUGAACGCUAUCUGCAGUGCAUCUUGGGAAUUGACAAUAUCAAAGAUGUUAUCCCUUUUCCAAGAUUUACUCAUUCGUGUCUUUUGUAGCUGAAGACUGCUUAAGGAAAACCACCCUGUGCCAGAGGUACUGCACAUGAAUAUACAUACAGGAGAAUGCAUGGUUGAACUGUAGAAAUGCAGAAGUUUUCAAUAUGUAAUUGUCAUGCCAGAAGAUACAUGAAAGAUACAUGUGAUCAUGAUUUUCAUUGAAAGUUGAAGGCAUUUCAUGGAAAGAUGAACUCCAUCAAGAGGAGUUCCCAUUCUCAUUUCAAAUUUUGAAGAAGGUGGAGAAAAAUAGUUACUUUCCAUCUGGCUGUCCGCUUGCCUGCGUAAGUUGUGCUGUCGUGGGUUUGUGGGGUUUUUUUGACAGGGGGGUUGGGGGGGGAUUAGGAGGGUCUGACAAGAACUUAAUUGUGUGAGUGAUCCAUUCCAGAUCUAGACAUAGCUCUCCUACCCUCUGACCCAGCCCAGAGACUCUUAACUCUCACAGAACGGCAAAGGAAUGGUUUGACCUUUUGUCCCUCCCAAACAGAAUCUGCUAGAAGCACCCCUCUACAGUGUUAUACAUUCAUAUUCUCUAUAAAUUGAAUCUAGACAUUUCACGCAGGACUGAACAGGCAUUGAAGAUGCAACUGGUGAGAUGGAUUAACUCUACCCUUCUUUAAACCUCUUCAGGUUUUUGCAUCAGGAAACUGUAGGGUCAGAUUCCUGCCAGAAAAUGUGCUGGAUGUUUCGUGUCUUGGAAGGGGUAUUAGACGUAGAGGGAGAAGACUCUGGUUUAUGUCUGACGCUCUACUUACCAGCUGUGGAACCUUGAGCAAGUUAUUUUAUCUCUGAGUUUGUAUACUUAUCUGCAAAAUGAGGAUAAUAUUUAACUUACAGAUUGUUGUGAGAAACGGCGAAGACUGUGUGAAAGGGUUUCAUAAGUUGACAACACUACACAAAUGUAAGGUCUCCUAAGGGAAUCCUUUUCAAAACUCAAAAAAAAAAUCUGUAUGAAGUAAGAUAUUUAUUACAUGUUGAAUGAAAUAUUUUAUAGCCAUAAAAAUUAUAAGAGAAAAUGUGUUGAAAAUUUUUUAAGUUGUACUUUGCAGUUACAACAGUGUAAAAGCUGUGCACAUGGACUAGAAGCAUAUGGGAAAAAAUGGAAUCAGCUGUUUCAGGACAGUGGAAUUGAGCGACUUUUCUUUAAAAAUCUCUUUGGCCUGUUCAAUUCAGUUCAGUAGACGCACUGUGCCAGGUUAAGUGCUCGAUUCUGUGAACACAGAGAAAAAUAGGAUAUGCUCCCACGUCUCAGGGACUCCCAUUUUGUAUAAUCUUUGUUAAAGUUUAUUAUGCAUAAGAAUCACCUGGGGAGCUUAUUACAAGUUCAGAUUAUCCUGAUACCACCCUAGAAAGUCUGCUCCACCCUAAAAGGUCUAGGAUGUAACAGCACACAGUUAGCAUUCUUCAAACGGUCACCCUGAGUGAUUCUAAUAUAGGUGGUUUAACUUCACACUGUGAGAAACCUUCAGUGAGGUUUUAAUGUUUUUACUGUAAAAAGUAAUAAUUAGAUCUGCUCAUUGAAGAAUUUGAUUGUUCUGUCUGGACCUUUUUUUUUAAUAUAUAUAUUUUUUUUAAUUUUA